rnacentral:misc_RNA from 1 species
AAAAUGCGAUACUUGGUGUGAAUUGCAGAAUCCCGUGAACCAUCGAGUUUUUGAACGCAAGUUGCGCCCGAAGCCAUUCGGCCGAGGGCACGUCUGCCUGGGCGUCACGCAUCGCGUCGCCCCAGACCAUGCUCCCCUUGUUGGGACGUGUUUGGUCUGGGACGGAGACUGGUCUCCCGUGCCGAUGGCGCGGUUGGCCUAAAAAAGAGUCCCCUUGGCGGACGCACGGCUAGUGGUGGUUGUCAAGGCCUUCGUAUCGAGCCGUGUUGAUGCUAGGGAAUUGCUCUCUAAAAGACCCUAAUGUGUUGUCUUACGACGAUGCUUCGACCGCGACCCCAGGUCAGGCGGGACUACCCGCUGAGUUUAA